CAAAAAUAGAUGUGAAUAAUAUGACCUUCAGCCAACUGGAGAAUUUAAGAGUAAUUUCUUGCAAUGCUACUGGUAACCCUUCCAAUUACACAUACUACCAAUGGAAGCAUACUUCAUCAAAUGGAAAACUGAUAAGAAAAAUAGGAAGCAACAGAAAUGGCGAACUGGUGUUACCGGUCUCUCACACUGAUGAUAGUUAUCAGGACAACGGAAUAUAUGAGUGCAAAGCAGGCAACGGAAUAAAAGAUAAAGAUGGAAUCAUUGAGCAGACUGGAUAUGGAUUUGUCACUAUAAAUGCGCAACCUGUUUUUAUGCCGAACAUCAAAGGUGUUAACAAAUCGACUGUGCAUGGUGAAGUUGGAAGAGAGGCAGAGAUAACGGUCAAGGUGUAUAGUAUUCCAAAGUAUGAAUCGAUAACAUGGUAUCGUGGAAUAAACAAAGAUCUCAAGAUUAUUCCUUCCCAAAAGUACAGUUUGUCCGAAACAUCUGCGAUUGUGAAAGGUUUUUUUUACAGCAUAGAAGUUGAUCUCGAUGGAUUUAUUUUGACUCUCAAAAUCAAUAAUUUAACAACUGAUGAUUUCACUACUUACACAGUUCAAUUAGAAAACAACGUUGGCAGUCCAACUGAGUACGUAGUUACCCUAGAACUAUCAGGAACUUCAGAUUCGGGUAUAAAUCAAGAUAGUAGCAUUCCUUUGUUGUUGGUAGCAGUAUUGGGGGUCUAGCAUUGGUAAUUCUAUGAGCAGUUAUUCUCGCUUUAAGGAAAACAGGAUGCAAACUGGAAAAGAUACCUGAUUCUAAAACAAAAGCGGAGAGUGAUAUUCAUUUUUAUCAGAAUCAAGAAUUUGCUACCAGAGAAAACAGGGAGCCGAAAUACGAAGGCUUGAAUCUAAGAGCUGAUUGUCAGGAUCAACACACAACAUAUGACUCUCUAAAUAUUGACCAAUCAGAAGUCAUGCGUAAUGGGCUCGACAAUGAAACAAAGAUGGGAGGAGGAAAAUCGGAAUUAAACAUCGAUGAAUCACAUGGUGAUUAUAUAAAUCAAGGCGGAGACUACUUAAAUGUUCUGUGAUGUAUUAAACCAAUGUGUAUCGAUUGAUCGAAACUCGCUAUAUUAGUAUGUUUUAUCUUUAAAGAUAAAAUUAUCUCUGUGAAGAUUUAUUUUAGAAAUAUUAAAAAUCAUUAUUUUGUCUCGAUUACAUGCUGUUUUCAGCGUUAGUGUAAAUGUUUUCAGCGUCGGUGUUUCCGUCAACAAUUAGGUGUAUGUAUCUCUGUUGAUAUUUUAUGUUUAUUUGAAGGUUAUGAAUAUA